rnacentral:rRNA from 1 species
CAACUUUCAACAACGGAUCUCUUGGUUCUGGCAUCGAUGAAGAACGCAGCGAAACGCGAUAAGUAGUGUGAAUUGCAGAAUUCAGUGAAUCAUCGAAUCUUUGAACGCACAUUGCGCCCCUUGGUAUUCCAUGGGGCAUGCCUGUUCGAGCGUCA